rnacentral:rRNA from 1 species
AAUAGAUACCCCGGUAGUCCACGCCGUAAACGAUGGAUGCUAGCUGUUAUCGGUAUCGACCCCGGUAGUAGCGAAGCUAACGCGUUAAGCAUCCCGCCUGUGGAGUACGGUCGCAAGACUAAAACAUAAAGGAAUUGACGGGGACCCGCACAAGCGGUGGAGCGUGUUGUUUAAUUCGAUGAUAAGCGAAGAACCUUACCCAGGCUUGACAUCCUUGGAAGCUCUCCGAAAGGAGAGUGUGCUUUUGAACCAAGUGACAGGUGAUGCAUGGCCGUCGUCAGCUCGUGUCGUGAGAUGUUUGGUUAAGUCCAUCAACGAGCGCAACCCUUGUAGUUAGUUGAAUUUUUCUAGCUAGACUGCCCUGGUAACAGGGUAGGAAGGAGGGGAUGAUGUCAGGUCAGUAUUUCCCUUACGUCUGGGGCUACAAACACGCUACAAUGGCCGGUACAAAGGGCAGCCAAGUCGCGAGACGGAGCAAAUCCCAUCAAAGCCGGUCCCAGUUCGGAUAGCAGGCUGAAACUGCCUGCUUGAAGUCGG